UACGUAGGGAGCGAGCGUUGUCCGGAAUUACUGGGCGUAAAGGGUGCGUAGGCGGCCUUGCAAGUCAGGCGUGAAAACCAUGGGCUCAACCCGUGGACUGCGUUUGAAACUGUGAGGCUUGAGUGAAGUAGAGGUAGGCGGAAUUCCCGGUGUAGCGGUGAAAUGCGUAGAGAUCGGGAGGAACACCAGUGGCGAAGGCGGCCUACUGGGCUUUAACUGACGCUGAGGCACGAAAGCAUGGGUAGCAAACAGG
rnacentral:rRNA from 1 species